GGACGAACGCUGGCGGCGUGCCUAACACAUGCAAGUCGAGCGGAGACAUGCGACGGAAGAGAAGUUUCGGAUGGAUCGGAGGACGUAUGUUUAGCGGCGGACGGGUGAGUAACGCGUGAGCAACCUGUCCUUCACAGGGGGAUAACACAGCGAAAGUUGUACUAAUACCGCAUGAGACCACAGCGGGACAUCCCGCAGGGGUCAAAGGAGCAAUCCGGUGAAGGGUGGGCUCGCGUCCGAUUAGAUAGUUGGUGAGGUAACGGCCCACCAAGUCGACGAUCGGUAGCCGACCUGAGAGGGUGAUCGGCCACAUUGGGACUGAGAUACGGCCCAGACUCCUACGGGAGGCAGCAGUGGGGAAUAUUGGGCAAUGGGCGCAAGCCUGACCCAGCAACGCCGCGUGAAGGAAGAAGGCUUUCGGGUUGUAAACUUCUUUUAUCAGGGACGAAGAAAGUGACGGUACCUGAUGAAUAAGCCACGGCUAACUACGUGCCAGCAGCGGC
rnacentral:rRNA from 1 species